GGUCCGUUGGGUCAAGGGGUUAAGACACCGCCUUUUCACGGCGGGUACACGGGUUCGAAUCCCGUACGGGACU
rnacentral:tRNA from 1 species